ensembl:lincRNA
GCGUGGGCCAAACCCUCCCAGACAAGCGGGAUCAGCUCCCAGCCCCACCCAGUCUCACUCACCUACCUCCUGAAGCGUCUUUUCCCAGGAACUAAACCUUUCUUUCCGGGACAGAUUUGCAGAGAGGAAAGAAUGGCCAUGGAAGGGGCCUCUCCCCAGCUUGCAUGGCUGGUAUCAGGCCUUUCAGGAAGCGUGAGGGAAAAAGCAAAGAAGCUGAAGGACUCUGUGACCAGGCUAGUGAGACUCAAGAGGGGUGAAGAGACGGGCUGCGGCUGUGGCUUCCACGGACAACCCUGGGAGCUGAACUCCCGGCCUGAGCACUCCCCCAGCAUCAGGACACAGAACCAACAUCCCCAUGCCUGCACUUCUCUCAGAAAAUGGCUCUGGUGGGACCACGUUGUUGCAAGGCCAUCUGGACCAUUCUGACCACUCAGACAGGGUUUGUGGCCACCAGUCCUGCUGGGUUCCUUCCCAGCAGGGCCGGGACCCUUGCUCUCAGAAAGCUGCUCACUUGGGACACCUCACAAAUUCCUAGGAAGACUUUGUUUCAGCAAAAACAUUUCAUCCCAACAAUUGGAUUUUCGGUGCAUUGAUCACCCCACUGUUAGCAGGCAUAGAAAACAUCAUUUACAUCUGUCGCCCACAGUUGUUCCUUUGCACCCGAGACCGUAGAUAUCCCUCAGCCUCACCCCUCACCCACCACCUGCGACUUCUGCUGAGUCUAGGCAGAGUGCACAACUCUGAUUAGCUGUUUCUCAGAGGUGUCAUUUCUUAACUUCAUAACUCAGUUAGCAGCUUGAAAAUCAUUUAUCCAGAGUACACAGUGAGUUGUGCUCUGCCCGCAGCACACACCCAGCGCCUGCCUACCCCCCUGACUUCACAGCACGCCAGUGCCCUCCAUGUCACAGAAAGCUCCAGUCUUCAGGGUGUCCUUAGCUAGCUUGAUAAACUUCCGUCACUUUUGCCUGCCCCUUCUCCAGAUUUCACUCAAUAAAUUCCAUUGUCUCCAAGAUUUGUCUACUUCCUUCACAAAAGGAGACCCCCCACCUCUGUAGACAUGUGUGUCUACGUGCACACACACACACACAGUGUGACGACCCUAACCCCCCUUCACUCACCGCCUCAUGAAAUACACAGUGCCAUAUUGCUUGUUUUCGGAGUACUGACAUACAUAAUGUAUUUAAGCCUUUUGUGAAUUGGAUCAGGGUUUGUGCAGCUGUUUGUUCAAUAAAAAGAGCCUGUCAGAAUUCAGGCCAUGGCAACAAAGAGGGUGCUGGAUUUUUAGGCUUUCUAUGGAAGCAAACCCAGCCUAGUAAAAACUUGCAUCUCCCCUCCAGGCUUUCUCCCUUUUAGUCCAGCCCUUAUUUUGUGGUGAAAUUGAGCUGUCUACACCGCAAAUCCAAGACUGCAAAGCUCCCACCUCCCUCCCACCCCAUCCUCAGCCCUCCAGCUUUCCUCAGUGUCUCCAAAUGAAAUUCAGCUUCCCUAUCAAGACUUACAAAGGCCUUUGUUGCUCCUGCUUUCUUCCCCAGCCCCACUCACCUCUUCCAGUUCGCCCAGCAACACUCAGCAGAGCCAUCCUCUGCUCGGGACCUCUUCCUCAGCCCCUCAAAGCCUCAGUUCAGGUCCCUCCCAUGUGCUCACCCCAGUCGAUACACAACUUGAUGUCUGGGACUGUGCCCUUCCCAGCUGUCCUCCCUGGGGUUAACCCAGUACCCAAUCCCAACGGGCUCUCAAUGUUUAUGGAUUGAAUUGAUGUGUGUGAAUGAAUUAUAAAAGGGUAGGGGGACCACCACUGAACUGCACGAUGUCUUCUUAAGCAACAGACUCAGGGCUGGCUCUCUAUGAAUUGUGGGGCAAGCCUAU